rnacentral:rRNA from 1 species
AUUGAACGCUGGCGGCAGGCCUAACACAUGCAAGUCGAACGGUAACAGGAAGCAGCUUGCUGCUUCGCUGACGAGUGGCGGACGGGUAAGUAAUGUCUGGGAAACUGCCUGAUGGAGGGGGAUAACUACUGGAAACGGUAGCUAAUACCGCAUAACGUCGCAAGACCAAAGAGGGGGACCUUAGGGCCUCUUGCCAUCGGAUGUGCCCAGAUGGGAUUAGCUAGUAGGUGGGGUAACGGCUCACCUAGGCGACGAUCCCUAGCUGGUCUGAGAGGAUGACCAGCCACACUGGAACUGAGACACGGUCCAGACUCCUACGGGAGGCAGCAGUAGGGAAUAUUGCACAAUGGGCGCAAGCCUGAUGCAGCCAUGCCGCGUGUAUGAAGAAGGCCUUCGGGUUGUAAAGUACUUUCAGCGGGGAGGAAGGGAGUAAAGUUAAUACCUUUGCUCAUUGACGUUACCCGCAGAAGAAGCACCGGCUAACUCCGUG